rnacentral:rRNA from 1 species
AGUGAACGCUGGCGGUAGGCCUAACACAUGCAAGUCGAACGGCGGCACAGUAAGAGCUUGCUCUUGCGGGUGGCGAGUGGCGGACGGGUGAGGAAUACAUCGGAAUCUACUUUUUCGUGGGGGAUAACGUAGGGAAACUUACGCUAAUACCGCAUACGACCUACGGGUGAAAGCAGGGGAUCUUCGGACCUUGCGCGAUUGAAUGAGCCGAUGUCGGAUUAGCUAGUUGGCGGGGUAAAGGCCCACCAAGGCGACGAUCCGUAGCUGGUCUGAGAGGAUGAUCAGCCACACUGGAACUGAGACACGGUCCAGACUCCUACGGGAGGCAGCAGUGGGGAAUAUUGGACAAUGGGCGCAAGCCUGAUCCAGCCAUACCGCGUGGGUGAAGAGGGCCUUCGGGUUGUAAAGCCCUUUUGUUGGGAAAGAAAAGCAGCAGGUUAAUACCCCGCUGUUCUGACGGUACCCAAAGAAUAAGCACCGGCUAACUUCGUG